AGAACGAACGCUGGCGGCAUGCCUAACACAUGCAAGUCGAACGAACCCUUCGGGGUUAGUGGCGCACGGGUGCGUAACGCGUGGGAACCUGCCUUUUGGUUCGGAAUAACAGUGAGAAAUUGCUGCUAAUACCGGAUAAUGUCUUCGGACCAAAGAUUUAUCGCCAUUAGAUGGGCCCGCGUAGGAUUAGCUAGUUGGUGGGGUAAAGGCCUACCGAAGGACGACGAUCCUUAGCUGGUCUUAGAGAUGAUCAGCCACACUGGGACUGAG
rnacentral:rRNA from 1 species